rnacentral:lncRNA from 1 species
GUCAAAAUCGAUGAAAAAAUAUAAAAUGACUUUUUUCAGUAUUUCGACUCAAUAGUCAAAUAUCUUUUAUUUCACAAAUUUGUAGGUCUUAAAACCAUUUCGUUACGUCAUUUUUGACGUCAUGAGACGCUCUGGGUUCAUGAGAAUGGACGAAUGCCGUUUUUACGAACCGGCUUGAUACGCGCGCCGCAGCUAGCUCGCCGACUCGCAUCGUCUGUUUGCUGAAACUUCGUUUUUACGAUCUGGCCUGAGGCGUCAGCUUGUUCAAACUUGCAUCAGCUGGAAACUGUUGCUUUCAGGUAGACCAAUGGGUGUCUCAUCAAACCAUACCUUCGACAGUUAAUUCGCCGUUCAUUGUUUGGUGAUUUCCAGAGCUGUUGCCUGAUUUUAAGAGUGAACAGAUUCUUACCUCUUCAAACGCAUCUGUGGUGGACUGUUACUUUCUAUUCCAAUUGUUCAUUCUACUGGGGACGAGAUGCUCAGUGUCUGACUGUCUGGUGAAGGGCUACUACUGAAAUUCCAUAAAUUGAAGCAUUCCAGGAGUGAAAGAUGUUUCAGAGAUUUUUGGAGACUCCACUUUUGAAGAUGAAGGAAAAUCACGAUCUCUUCUGAUAAAGGUAUACAUUUCUUGUGGUUUGACUGAACUUGUUUUCCUUUGGGAUAUUGAUAGAGAGAUCUCAAGACAGUAAACAUCAGUCUUCACAAUAACUCUGAUAUUGUAUUUACUGUCAAGAGCAUGUGAUAACUACUCUUGUUGCUUCAGAGACCAAAGCUCAAAACACAAUAUAUCAGUUCUUAUUUGGACUGGUAUAUUGUAUUGUCUGUAAAGAGCACGUGAUAUGGUCUAAAAUGUUUUCAUUCCAGAGAAGGACAGUUAGGUAGACCAAAGCUCAAAACAGAAUACAUGUAUAACAGAUUAACUGUGAAUUUCUGUCAAGGGCAAUCGGUAAAUUCUUGUUGCAUUUAGAGACCAAGAAGGACACUUUAGGUAGACCAAAGCUCAAAACAGAAUACAUGUAUAACAGAUUGCCUGUGAGAUGGUAUUUUCUGUCAAGGGCAAUUGGUAAAUUCUUUUUGCAUUUAGACACCAAGAAGGACACUUUAGGUAGACCAAAGCUCAAAACAAUACAUGUACAACAGAUUAACUGUGAGAUUGUAUUUUCUGUCAAGACUGUAAGAAGUAUUUUUUUGUCCAGAGCAAGUGUACAAAUUUGUUAAAUUUAGCAAAUAUGAAAGACUCCGAUAUUUAAACAAUAGCUUAGAUCAGAAUACAUAUGUUGUUAGAAAGACUGUCAAAAUGCAGUUUGCUUGAAGUGUGGGUUUUUGUUUUAACCUAAUAUGAUGAAAUAGCUACUUGAUUUCCUUAACUGGUUUAUGUUCUCAUUUAGGAAUAAAUGUCACAAUUGCAUAUGUGUGUUGGGAAAAAAUUCAUGCAAAUAUUUUUAUCGCAUGUUUCUUUUCACAACAAAUUUUGAAACUCAGGUUAUGAAAUAAGUGUCAUUUUUACAAUUAAAGUUUUGCAGACACAACUUGCUACAGAUCUGAUUUUUCUUGUCAUAUUUUAUUUGCAAUCAAAUCCACUGCAGUACAAUUAACAGUCUUGAUGUUGCUUGAUUUUAUUUAUGGUGCUUUGAACAGAUCGUAAUAUAUUCAUGCUUGAAAUUCUAUAUAUUAUCCUCUGCCAUGUACUUGCCAAAUAGUAUAAUGACUACUCACGAUCCGUCUUUCAAGACUAGUUUGCAAUUCAUGAAAUAUUUUCAUUUGUUUUUAUUUGUUAAACUCUGAGAUUAUCUAUUAUUGUUUUGUAUUUAUUUAAAAAAGGUGUUGUUUGUUAGAAAUGAGAUUAUGACCCUUUGGGUUUCAUGUAUUAAUGGUCAGUUUAAAUUUAAAUUGGUGUACACGUCUGAAAGAUUCUAAACUGGUUAUUAAAAAGACAUUUUUUUCAAUAUGGAACCACUUUGGAACUUGAUUUGAAAACAAAAUAGAAUAAUGGGCAUGCAAAUCUUUCUGCUAAACUUAUAAUUUUGAACAGACACUGUAACAUUACAACACACACAAAAGAAAAUGGCAGUAAGAGGCAAGAGAUUUUUUAGAUUACACAGAACAUGGUGAGAACAUUCUAGGACACCAUCAUGCAUUUGUGUAUUAUGUACAAUUUACUGUACAUAGUGUGAUCAAUUUACUGUACAUAGUGAUGCAUGGAGUUUGAUUUAUUUUUAAAAAUGGUUAAUGUUUUAAAAUUAGUGUUUAAUGUUUAAAAAUGUUCAACUGGAAGCUUAGUAAUAAUAUGUGUUCAUAAAAUGGUUUAUCUUUCACCUUCUUAAGUGAGUUUACAAAAUAAAUGGAAAUGAUAGUUGCCAUUUUUGUAUUUGAAUAAUCAAACCUGCAGUCGAUUAUUAAGAUAUUCAUUAAACAGAAGAGAAUAAACUUUUAUCCAGGUAAGAGAAAUAAAAUCAUAAAUGUUUAUACUGUAUGCAAAUAAUAAAAGUGCAUUUUGAUAAUAAAGACUUAUAAAACAAAUUUAUUGAAAAACAGGUUUUCAAAUGCAGUACGCUGUCAUACGUUGUACAUUCAAAUAUGUACACAGAUAUAUCCUUGUGUCAAUGGCAAUGAGGGUGAUAAUGUGGGGUGUUUUUCUUUGUUAGGCAGGGGCAUUUUUAAUCUAAUUGAUAAGAUGUGUGUUUUAUGUUUAUAUGAAGUGCUUCUUUUAAUUUUCUUAUAAGAAUCUCAGUUAUAAAACUUAACCAAAUUGGUGUAAUUUCCUGAAGUACAUUUAAUGUAAAGUUGGUAUAUAGGAGACUGAUGAAUUAGUUAAUGUUAAAGAAAAUGAAGAUGUACUUUUAUAUGUCUCAUUGUGGAUGUUGACAUGGUUUUUGUAAAUGCAGGUAUAUUAUCUACAUGUAUAUGAAUUUUUAAUGAGUAUUUUCAUUGUGUAUCCUUUCUAUUAACAUUUGAUAUAAUUGAAACAAAUUUCUAUGAUCUUGUGUUGUCUAUGUUUGGAAUUUCAAUUAAAGGUGUAUUUUCAUCUUUUAUUCAAAGGUUUUAGAAUUUACUUGAAUUUU